CGGCGAGAUGGGGCUUUCGUCCGCCACCGCCACAGCACCACAAACCCACACGAUUCCUCUCCGCGUCCUCGGUCGCCGCCGCCUUCCGACGAGCUUCCGCCCCGUGCUCGAUCGGGCACAGAGCUCCAGCAUAUUACCCCCGAUCCGGGGAAGGUCCGACACCCAAUUCGAUCCAGAACCCCCCAAUUUCGUCUAGGGUUUGGUCUCGGGCCGAGGAUCUAGGGUUUGCCGGCGGAAUUUUCGGGCAAUUCGCGUCGAUUGCUAGGGUUUGCGCGCGCGGAUCAUGGCCGCGGGCCGCCGCGGUGGGUACCGGGGCUACGAGGUGGCGAGGGAGCGGGAGUCCGAUCUGGGGGCUUCUAGGAGGGACAAGGAGUACCAUCACCGCCAACCUAGCCGCCACCGCGACUCGGAUCGUCGUCGUGAUGGCGGCCGUGGCAGGGACCGGGAGCCGUCAAAUGGGUACGGCCACCACCGCUCGCCGCACCUGCCGCCACCGAAGAGCCGCCCCUCUGGGAGGAGGGAGGAGAGGGAGCCCGGCGAGGUUUCCAGCGGCAGUGGCUCGGAAGAGUCUCGUGGGCGCCCUCUGAAGGCAAGGGAGCCGAGCCUGAAUAGCGUUGCUGGAGUCAGUAGUGAGGGCGGUGUGCGUUCCCCUAGUAGGAAAAGGAAGCACUCACCGAUUACUUUGGAUAGGAAUGGAUCUAAGCCCUCUCCAGCGUCAGGUAGUCCCUCGAAAAAUUGUUUGAAAGGGCUGGUGAUGAGUUCUGGUAGAAGCAUUGUCCUGGUCUUUCGAUAACUGGAAAUGCAUCGACAAGCAUGUGCCCUAUGCGGAAGUCUUUAAACAUGUUUCAUCGAUCCUCAAGGAGUAUGGAUUUUGCCCUACUGGAGAUUCCUUGGACACUAUAAACCUCCGGCCUUAUGACUGCACAAAGUCAGGUGGAGAGUCAUGCAAAGUGCUUACAGAUGCAAACAAGGCAGUUACGGAAACGGCCAGUCUGGAGGCUACAGAGGAAAAGGUCACAACUGUUGGGAAUGACAGCCUCUCCCUUAUGGCACGGCAGAACACUCCACAAAGAAAGGCUGUGAGAAAGAAAGCAGGCGGAGGAUGGGAUCCCACGUAUACAAAGAGAAGUUUUUACCCUUAUUGGAGAUCAGUAUUACUAGCCCGGUUUCCUGUGAAGGUUUAUCCGGCCUAUGCAAUCUCAGAUCCUAGGUCUGGGCUUAAACCUGGACAACCCCGUGUCUGUCUGAGUAAAAAGUUAAUGCCCAAUGGAUCUAGUCCAACUCCAUACCGUAAACUUGGUCCUGUGCAAAGAAUCUCGCCACUUACAAGCAAUAAUCAAGCCAGAAGGUGCUUUGCCACUGCUGCUACUGGUGCAUUCAGGCUCUUGAAGAUGCUGAAGUAGAUUAGAAAGAUAGUUGACAAUCUUUUAGGGGACUAUAAUUGGAGUAUAAUUGCUUCAGUUUUACUGCUCUAUCUUACUACCGUUUUGGUUAUAGGUUAAACUGUCUCGGCAGAUUUCAUUGCAUUACUGUAAAAUCACUCGAUGUUUUCAUCUGCUGUGAAUACAAUGACCGAUAUAUAAUUGCUCCUCUGCAUUUCGAUGGGAAUAUUAGUUGUUUGAUUUGUUUUGUGGAUCUACAGUUCUUGACGAUGACACUUGCUUGAACAAAGACCAGGUUGUUUGGUCUCUCAUUUUUCUCAGAGCAAUAUUCUACUAUGUGAAGUGAAGUUGUAAAUAAACUAUUCUAUGAAAUCUGUUUUGACCAGUCACAAGUUUGUUGUUUUGUAAAAUAUGUUCUUAUGAUAUGCAAGUCAUGUAUUUGCCAAUAAAAAAUGGGAUGUACUGUAUUUUG